rnacentral:rRNA from 1 species
AUUGAACGCUGGCGGCAUGCCUUACACAUGCAAGUCGAACGGUAACAGGUCUUCGGAUGCUGACGAGUGGCGAACGGGUGAGUAAUACAUCGGAACGUGCCUAGUAGUGGGGGAUAACUACUCGAAAGAGUGGCUAAUACCGCAUGAGAUCUACGGAUGAAAGCGGGGGAUCGCAAGACCUUGUGCUACUAGAGCGGCCGAUGGCAGAUUAGGUAGUUGGUGGGAUAAAAGCUUACCAAGCCGACGAUCUGUAGCUGGUCUGAGAGGACGAUCAGCCACACUGGGACUGAGAAACGGCCCAGACUCCUACGGGAGGCAGCAGUGGGGAAUUUUGGACAAUGGGCGCAAGCCUGAUCCAGCAAUGCCGCGUGCAGGAUGAAGGCCUUCGGGUUGUAAACUGCUUUUGUACGGAACGAAAAGCCCCGGGUUAAUACCCUAGGGUCAUGACGGUACCGUAAGAAUAAGCACCGGCUAACUACGUGCCAGCCGCCGCCGUAA